rnacentral:rRNA from 1 species
AGAGUUUGAUCCUGGCUCAGGAUGAACGCUGGCGGCGUGCUUAACACAUGCAAGUCGAGCGAAGCGCUUAAGUUUGAUUCUUUGGAUGAAGACUUUUGUGACUGAGCGGCGGACGGGUGAGUAACGCGUGGGUAACCUGCCUCAUACAGGGGGAUAACAGUUAGAAAUGACUGCUAAUACCGCAUAAGACCACGGUACCGCAUGGUACAGUGGUAAAAACUCCGGUGGUAUGAGAUGGACCCGCGUCUGAUUAGGUAGUUGGUGGGGUAACGGCCUACCAAGCCGACGAUCAGUAGCCGACCUGAGAGGGUGACCGGCCACAUUGGGACUGAGACACGGCCCAGACUCCUACGGGAGGCAGCAGUGGGGAAUAUUGCACAAUGGAGGAAACUCUGAUGCAGCGACGCCGCGUGAAGGAUGAAGUAUUUCGGUAUGUAAACUUCUAUCAGCAGGGAAGAAAAUGACGGUACCUGACUAAGAAGCCCCGGCUAACUACGUGCCAGCAGCCGCGGUAAU